rnacentral:rRNA from 1 species
CCAGACUCCUACGGGAGGCAGCAGUGGGGAAUAUUGCACAAUGGGGGGAACCCUGAUGCAGCGACGCCGCGUGGGUGAAGGAGUAUUUCGGUAUGUAAAGCCCUAUCAGCAGGGAAGAACAAUGACGGUACCUGACUAAGAAGCACCGGCUAAAUACGUGCCAGCAGCCGCGGUAAUACGUAUGGUGCAAGCGUUAUCCGGAUUUACUGGGUGUAAAGGGGGCGCAGACGGCGAUGCAAGCCAGGAGUGAAAGCCCGGGGCCCAACCCCGGGACUGCUCUUGGAACUGCGUGGCUGGAGUGCAGGAGGGACAGGCGGAAUUCCUGGUGUAGCGGUGAAAUGCGUAGAUAUCAGGAGGAACACCGGUGGCGAAGGCGGCCUGCUGGACUGCAACUGACGUUGAGGCCCGAAAGCGUGGGGAGCAAACAGGAUUAGAUACCCGCGUAC